rnacentral:rRNA from 1 species
AUUGAACGCUGGCGGCAUGCCUUACACAUGCAAGUCGAACGGCAGCACGGGAGCAAUCCUGGUGGCGAGUGGCGAACGGGUGAGUAAUAUAUCGGAACGUGCCCAGUCGUGGGGGAUAACGUAGCGAAAGCUACGCUAAUACCGCAUACGAUCUAUGGAUGAAAGCGGGGGAUCGCAAGACCUCGCGCGAUUGGAGCGGCCGAUAUCAGAUUAGGUAGUUGGUGAGGUAAAGGCUCACCAAGCCGACGAUCUGUAGCUGGUCUGAGAGGACGACCAGCCACACUGGGACUGAGACACGGCCCAGACUCCUACGGGAGGCAGCAGUGGGGAAUUUUGGACAAUGGGCGCAAGCCUGAUCCAGCAAUGCCGCGUGCAGGAUGAAGGCCUUCGGGUUGUAAACUGCUUUUGUACGGAACGAAACGGUGAGCUCUAAUACAGUUUGCUAAUGACGGUACCGUAAGAAUAAGCACCGGCUAACUACGUGCCAGCCGCCGCGGUAAUAC